rnacentral:rRNA from 1 species
UACAGAGGGUGCAAGCGUUGUUCGGAAUUACUGGGCGUAAAGCGCGUGUAGGUGGCGAUGUAAGUCGGGUGUGAAAUCCCUUGGCUCAACCAAGGAAGUGCAUUCGAUACUGUGUCGCUUGAGUACCGGAGGGGAUGGCGGAAUUCCCGGUGUAGAGGUGAAAUUCGUAGAUAUCGGGAGGAACACCUGUGGCGAAGGCGGCCAUCUGGACGGUCACUGACACUGAGACGCGAAAGCGUGGGUAGCAAACAGG